CGGGGGGAGCAAGCGUUGUUCGGAUUUACUGGGCGUAAAGGGCGCGUAGGCGGCCUCUGCAAGUCGACUGUGAAAUCUCCGGGCUUAACCCGGAAAGGUCAGCCGAUACUGCAGGGCUAGAGUGCAGAAGGGGCAACUGGAAUUCUCGGUGUAGCGGUGAAAUGCGUAGAUACCGAGAGGAGCACCUGCGGCGAAGGCGGGUUGCUGGGCUGACACUGACGCUGAAGUGCGAAAGCUAGGGGAGCGAACGGGAUUAGAUACCCCGGUAGUCCUAGCCUUAAACGAUGAAUGCUUGGUGUCUGGGGUUUUAUAGUCCCCGGGUGCCGUCGCUAACGCUUUAAGCAUUCCGCCUGGGGAGUACGGUCGCAAGACUG
rnacentral:rRNA from 1 species